AUGGACGCUAGCUACAGGCUUAACACAUGCAAGUCGAGGGGCAGCAUGGUCUUAGCUUGCUAAGGCCGAUGGCGACCGGCGCACGGGUGAGUAACACGUAUCCAACCUGCCGUCUACUCUUAGACAGCCUUCUGAAAGGAAGAUUAAUACAAGAUGGCAUCAUGAGUCCGCAUGUUCACAUGAUUAAAGGUAUUCCGGUAGACGAUGGGGAUGCGUUCCAUUAGAUAGUAGGCGGGGUAACGGCCCACCUAGUCUUCGAUGGAUAGGGGUUCUGAGAGGAAGGUCCCCCACAUUGGAACUGAGACACGGUCCAAACUCCUACGGGAGGCAGCAGUGAGGAAUAUUGGUCAAUGGGCGAGAGCCUGAACCAGCCAAGUAGCGUGAAGGAUGACUGCCCUAUGGGUUGUAAACUUCUUUUAUAAAGGAAUAAAGUCGGGUAUGGAUACCCGUUUGCAUGUACUUUAUGAAUAAGGAUCGGCUAACUCCGUGCCAGCAGCCGCGGUAAUACGGAGGAUCCGAGCGUUAUCCGGAUUUAUUGGGUUUAAAGGGAGCGUAGAUGGAUGUUUAAGUCAGUUGUGAAAGUUUGCGGCUCAACCGUAAAAUUGCAGUUGAUACUGGAUAUCUUGAGUGCAGUUGAGGCAGGCGGAAUUCGUGGUGUAGCGGUGAAAUGCUUAGAUAUCACGAAGAACUCCGAUUGCGAAGGCAGCCUGCUAAGCUGCAACUGACAUUGAGGCUCGAAAGUGUGGGUAUCAAACAGGAUUAGAUACCCUGGUAGUCCACACGGUAAACGAUGAAUACUCGCUGUUUGCGAUAUACUGCAAGCGGCCAAGCGAAAGCGUUAAGUAUUCCACCUGGGGAGUACGCCGGCAACGGUGAAACUCAAAGGAAUUGACGGGGACCCGCACAAGCGGUGGAGCAUGUGGUUUAAUUCGAAGCAACGCGAAGAACCUUACCAAGUCUUGACAUCCUUCUGACCGGUGCGUAACGGUGCCUUCUCUUCGGAGCAGGAGUGACAGGUGGUGCAUGGUUGUCGUCAGCUCGUGCCGUGAGGUGUCGGCUUAAGUGCCAUAACGAGCGCAACCCUUGUUGUCAGUUACUAACAGGUUCUGCUGAGGACUCUGACAAGACUGCCAUCGUAAGAUGUGAGGAAGGUGGGGAUGACGUCAAAUCAGCACGGCCCUUACGUCCGGGGCUACACACGUGUUACAAUGGGGGGUACAGAGGGCCGCUACCACGCGAGUGGAUGCCAAUCCCAAAAACCUCUCUCAGUUCGGACUGGAGUCUGCAACCCGACUCCACGAAGCUGGAUUCGCUAGUAAUCGCGCAUCAGCCACGGCGCGGUGAAUACGUUCCCGGGCCUUGUACACACCGCCCGUCAAGCCAUGGGAGCCGGGGGUACCUGAAGUGCGUAACCGCGAGGAGCGCCCUAGGGUAAAACUGGUGACUGGGGCU
rnacentral:rRNA from 1 species